UCAGCUACUUCUACUUGUUGAAGCUCAGGUUCCACAGUGGGUUGCUCGUCUACUCGCAUCAACACAAUACAUACAUAGUAUAGCCAAAAUCAACAUCACACCAAACAGAUGAAUGAAAUAUACAGUAAAAAUCUACACAUUAAAAUGAGAUCAUAGGAACUGGAAUCACUAAAUUUGGAGUUAUAGAUUUCAAGUUAUGAAUUUCCUAAGGUUUAAUGUGAUUAAAAUAGGAUUAUAUGUUAAAUUAAUGUUCUUACUGUUUUUAUGCCAAAACAGAGAUACUAAGUGAUAGAGAAUAUUAUCACAAAAUUUUAGCAACUGGAAUGGUUCAAUUUGGACUAAAAAUGAAUUUUCUAUGCACUAAACAAGUUUUAGGAAUUCUUUUAUAUUAAAAAUCAAUUUCUGUAUUUAUUUACCUAUUUUAUAUGUUCUCUGGACUGGGCCUCAAUUACUGAAAAGUGUAGGGGUUCAAGCGUAACAUUUCCACAGACUCAGGGCACUGUUAUGGUGGACGGCGGGUUGAUUGUGGCAAAGGGCAAGGGCUCUUUAACAAUUUGCGCACGGCGAAGGGGUAUCUUGUGUUUUCAGCCGUCCGAUCUAGAGUCUAGGGUUUAGAUUUUAUGAAGCCUAACGCAUUCUGAACCGUCCGAUUAAACCUACGGCCCGGAUUGACUCAUCCAGGAGGUAUUCCCGAUUAGAUCUGCACCGCAUAUCAACGAUCCCACGGGUACCUUUCGCCCAACCCAUCUUCAAAUCCCGACCGGUCAUCUCAGUAUCUACGGCGACGACAUCGUCUUCUUCCCUCGGACGGCAGAGCGGUGCCAGCAAGCGCCAGGAAGCAAGCGGCGAGCAGGGGGAUGAGUUACCCGCGGUGCGGCGUGCAGCGCAACUAAAACCUACGCACCGAGGAAAUACUGUUGAAUCGCAGGGAUGUUCUCUUACCGUUUUCGAAGCACCGGUGUGGUUGUCCCCGGAGGCUGGCGGCGCGCCAGAUCUCUUGACGCCGACAACGAGGCUCCCGGUCUCUGGCUUAGCGACCCCGUGGACGAGUCCUUGCGCAGUACAAGGAUGCGCCACCAUAUGGCACCGCGUGAAUAUUGCGAACGCGCUCGACUUCACCCGCGAUCAAACCCACUCCCUUCUCCCUUGGUUUCUCUCUCUUAAUGGCUGCAAUCCAGGCGGCGCACACCUACCAUUUUUUUUGCUCCAGGUCAACCACGACGGCCAACAACUAGGACCAUCCGACUUAUGGGCGAGCAGAGCGGUAGCACCGGAGAACCCGUUCUCCGUUUGACCAACGCCCACACCCAGAAGAAUACGCGUAUGCAAAUACAUCGUGGUCCCAGCCGUCAGUGGUGGUGGAGGUAUAGGGGUGAUGUCACCCAUGACGCCUGGCUAACGCCUUCCUCACUGAAGACCAUUUUUUUUAUUCAGCGGCGCACAGGCUUGGCUAUUGGGCCGCGUGAGAUGAGGGAGAAUGGGUCAACCGGUAGUUUGGGUCCAUGCAGGAGCUUAAUCUUCUUCUUUUUCUUUCUAUUUUCCUUUUUCUUUUCUUUUCAUAUUUGAGUUCUUAAAUUUGUAUCCGCAUUCGAUUGUAAAUCUUGAACUUGAACUAGAUGUACUAGUCCAAGAUGUUGAUAUGAAAGACACCUUUAUUUAUACAUUUUCCUUACAUUAUAUAUAUGGCCUUUCCUUAUAUUUAUAUAGUAUUUCUCUCUUCUCUCUCCAAUUUUAACCCUAAGUCCAAAUUGGGGUUGAUUCUACAUUCCAAGUCAUUCUUUUGUUUCCACUAUUAUUGUUAUUGUUAUUUAAAUGCACAAGCAAACAAAAAUAUCCAACAUGAUGCAUAUAUUUUUUUUAUUUGUUUUAAUUAAUAACCCUUAACUAUAUAUAUGCUCUUUUUAUGAUGCAAAUAAGGCACAUAGAAUGAGGAGAUCUCUCUACAUUUCUUGGUAUACAAUUUUGAGUAUUACAAAUCCUACCCCCCUUAAAAAAUAAUCUCGUCCUCGAGAUUUAGGAAGAUCUAGGGAAAAGGUGGGGGAAAAUCUAUAUGAAGCUCUUCUUCUCUUUCCCAUGUUGCUUCAUCUUUACUGUGGUGGCUCCAUUGCACUUUGCACAUCUUGAUACCUUAUUUCUUGUAACUCGAGUCAAUGUACCAAGAAUCUUGAUAGGAUACUCUGUGUAAGUCAAAUCACCCUGAACACUGAGCUCUUCCAUUGGUAAAUGUUCUUCAGGGACACGGAGACACUUCUUAAGUUGAGACACAUGGAAUACAUUAUGCACAUCAGAUAGAUUCUCAGGUAGCCCGAGUUGAUAUGUCAUCUCUCCACUCGCCUAAAAACUCAGAGUGGUCCAAUAAAGCGAGGGGACAAUUUUCCCUUGACUUUGAAUCUCCUCAUUCCACGAAGUGAUGACACUUUGAGGUACACAUAAUCUCCUUCUUCAAAUUCCAGUGGCCUCCUUCUAUUAUCAGCAUAGCUCUUUUGUCUGGUUUGAGCUACUCUCAAAUUUUCUCAAAUUAUACGAACUUGACCUUCUGCUUCUUGAAUCAGUUCAGGCCCAAAGAAUUGUCUUUCUCCAGUUUGAUCCCAACAUAGAGGAGUCUUGCAUUUCCUGUCAUACAGAGUCUCAAAUGGUGACAUCUUCAGACUGGCCUAGUAACUAUUAUUAUAUGAGAACUCAGCACAAGGUAGACUCUUGUCCCAACUACUACCAUGCUGCAGGGCACAAGCUCUCAACAUGUCCUUUAAUACUUGAUUAGUCCUUUCAGUCUGUCCAUCAGUCUGAGGAUGGUAGGGCGAACUAAAAUUCAACUUCGUAUCCAUAUUCUCAUGAAAACUUUUCCAAAAUCUGGGGUAAACUAUGAUCCUCUAUCCAAAAUGAUCUUCUUCGGUAUACCAUGUAGAGACACAAUCCAAGCCAUAUAUAACUCUGCCAAUUGAGAUACCUUAUAAGUAGUCUUGACCGGAAUGAAAUGAGCCACUUUGGCCAGUCUAUCCACAAUCACCCGUAUAGAAUCAUAUCCUCUCGGGGUGCGAGGCAAUCCAGUAAUGAAAUCCAUAUCAAUCUCUUCUCACUUCCAUUUGGGUAUCUUUAAUGGGUAUAAUAGUCCAGCUAGUCUUUGGUGUUUGGUCUUAACUCUUUGACACCCAUAGCACAUAGCCACCUGUGCAGCCACAUCUCUCUUCAAUCCAUACCACCGGUGUUUCAGCUUCAAAUCCUGAUACAUCUUAGUGCUACCAGGGUGGAUAGAGUAAUCAGAAUCAUGGGCUUCCUUUAAUAUAGUCUCACGAAGGUUAUCAAUCUCCGGAACACAUAUCCAAUCCUUGAACCAUAUAGUACCUUGCUCAUCCUCUGUGAAUUCCGGACCUCGUCCUUCAGUAAUCAGAUCCUUAAUCUCUUGUAUUUUAGCAUCACCAACCUGACCUUUAUAAAUUUCUUGCUCCAAGGUAGGUUCCGCAUCAAUAGUUACUCCUUCAGUGUGAACAACUAUCCCCGGGUUAAGUCUCCUGAAAUCCUCAACAAUCUCAUCGGGUAGCUGGGCAACAACAGCUGAAUGGACAUGCUCCUUUCGACUCAAGGCAUCUGCAACCAAAUUUGCCUUGCCCGGGUGAUAGUGAAUCUCCAAUUCAUAAUCCUUAAUAAGCUCCAACCAACGGCGUUGCCUAAGGUUGAGAUCCUUCUGAGUGAAUAUGUACUUCAAGCUCUUAUGAUCCGUGUAUACUUGGCACUUAGUUCCCAUAAUGUAAUGUCUCCAUUUCUUAAGUGUGUGUACGACGGCAGCCAGCUCUAAGUCAUGAGUGGGGUAGUUCAAUUCAUGCUUCCUCAACUGACGAGAUGCAUAGGCAAUCACAUGACCUUCUUGCAUAAGCACACAUCCAAGUCCUUGGCCACAUGCAUCACAAUAAAUGCCAAAUCCCUUCUGCAGAUCUCAAUACUGGUGGCGACACCAAUCUCUCCUUCAAUUGAUCAAAACUCUCUUGGCAUUUCUCAUCUCACUUAAACUCUAUUCCCUUCUCCAGAAGUGAGGUCAUAGGCUUAGCAAUCUUAGAAAAUCCUUCAAUAAAUCUCCAAUAAUAUCCUAAAAGUCCCAAGAAACUCUGAAUCUUGUAGUGGGUAUGCUCCACACCACUAUCUCCUUGACUUUAGCAGGAUCCACUGAUAUCCCUCCAUUAGAAAUGAUAUGUCCAAGAAAUGGCACCUUGCCAAUCCAAAACUUGCAUUUGCUAUACUUGGCAUAGAGUUGAUUAUCUCAUAGCUUCUAUAGCACUAAUCUCAGAUGUUCCUCAUGAUCGCUUCACUCUUAGAAUAGAUAAGGAUAUCGACGAUGAAUACUACGACGAAUCUAUCCAAAUCAUGAACACCUUAAUCUUCAGAUCCAUAAAAUAGGCUGGUGCAUUAGUUAGUCCAAACGACAUAACGGUGAACUCAUAUAAUCCAUAUCGAGUCGAGAAAUCCGUCUUGGGAAUAUCUGAUGGCCUAAUCUUCAUUUGGUGAUAACUCGGCCGGGGAUCAAUCUUCGAGAAUACCCUAGCAUCUCUCAUCUGAUCAAAUAAAUCCUCAAUGCGGGGUAACAGAUACUUGUUCUUCAUGGUAACAUCAUUAAGAGAUCUAUAAUCCACACACAUUCCUUGUGAUCCAUCCUUCUUCUAUACAAACAAGAACUGGCGCUCCCCCAAGGUGAGGGUCUCAGACGAAUGUACUCAGCUUCCUAUAAUUCCGUUAACUGCUUCUUAAGUUUCUUUAGCUCUUCUACGGACAUCAUGUAUGGCCGUUUAGAAAUAGGGGCAGUCCUAGGUAAGAGAUCAAUGACCAACUCAACUUCCGUAUCUGGUGGCAUCCCUGGUAACUCCUCUGGAAAGACAUCCAGAAAAUCCUUAACCACACGGAUGUUGUCACCAACAAACUUCACAUCGACUAAGAAUGCUGCUAAUCUGAUGGUGGUAGUUACUGCAACUUCAACUUCAAAUCUUUGUCCUUUGGAACUGGUGAGUUCUAUGGUUCCCUUAGCACGGUGUAUAAACUGUCUUUGCCUUUCUUAACCACGACAUACCAAGGAUCACGUCUAUAGUGCUCUCUUCUAACACUAUAGGGAUAGUCCAUCUGGGUUAGAAACACAGGGUAAGAAAGGAAGAAUUGUAGACAAGGCGAGUAGUUACGAGGAAUGUUACUACGGGGGAUUUAUUAGCUAAGCAGAUUAAUAUUUCACCUACUAUAGCUAAUUCAAUACCUUAUGUUGGUACAUGCUAAGAUGUCCAUCUAUAAUAAUUCAAUCAAUCAAAGAAGCAAAUCAGACAUUUAGCAUCAGCACAAUCAACCAACAUUUUUUUUAAGAAAAUAGUUUUAACUUUUGUUUCGGGUUCCCUAACUCUUAAGAAUGUCAUAGGGGUAGGGAUUCCAAGGUUUGAAAUCCAUCUUGUCUCAGAGUAGAAAAGGUAAGAAUGAUCAGAGUAGAACAGUAGAAGGUGAGAUAGGAUCAAGAUAAGGUAAGUAUGGAAUGAAUCAGAGUAAGAUAAGUAGAUAAGGGUUUUGUCCAUUUCUAUCUAGGUUUCGUCCUACAGUCAACAUUUCCUCUGAUACCACUUCUGUAACACCCGGUUUUAAGGAACAAAGCCGGGUGCAUCUCAUACAUGCGCCAAGAAGACAACAUAUAUAAUAACAGAGUGUAUAGAGAUAAAUGUCAUAAAACAUCAGAGUAUUUAUUACAUAGCGGAAGACUUAUUACAAAAUAAAAGUGUAAACAUAAAACGAACUAAGGAUCGUCGGCGCCAAUGUCAACUGAGAAACGCCACCUAGAUCAGAUCGAACUCCUCGGUGUUAGGCGGCUCCUCUUCGAUCACCUGUUCUUCUCCUGUGGGGGGGUGUGAGACAGCAAGAGUGAGCUCACAUACGUUCAUCGCUCAACAAGUUGUGGGGAAUAAUGUGACAUGAACUCACCAAAGGUGGGAGUUCAUGAAGUGUAAGGCUGAUCAAUGGAAUAAAGGCUGAGGCUGAGCAUUGCUUUUAUAAGUUGGUCAAAAUUUUAUUAGCAAUUACUAAGUGUAAGUAAAUACCAAACCUUAAUAAUAAUAAAGAAAAGUAAUAGUAAAAUAAUCCCAAAUGCGAUGCAAAUGUCAAAUUGAAUUUAAGUUCCAUAAUUAAUCAUGUGAGGGUCCGAGCCGCUCUUGGCCGUGAGCACGGCUAGUAUACUAGUUUUACACUCUGCAAAGGUUGCGCAUCUUUACCCACAAGUCGUGUAUCCCAUGUCGCCUGGGUUUGCAAGGCCCUUAGACACUACCGAGGUGAAUGGCUAGGGAUCCACUACGAGGCCUUUACAAAGUUCCACUAGCUUCCGAAAACCCGCUACAGUUUAUAGGAAGAUCCAGUACAGGGUUCCUGGCUGACAGCCAUCGCAGCAAAAUCAACCAGGGACCUCCCCGCACUGACCUCUCCCCUACUGCCCUUGCCCCUUUCGGGUAAGGUAGUCUUCCACUAGCUUUCCUAAUUAGUCAGCCAAGGGCGUCCCAUUAUACCCUUGUGGUAGCACUGUUUUCCCGGGUGGUCGCUCCAUGUUCCCAUUAAUUUAAUGAUCUUAACAUGAACAAUAAUAAUAACAAGUUAAUAACAGAAUAAUCAUGAAUAGUGUAUCUCCAUACCCAAUCCACAUAAAGCAAUAGCAAGUACUACCCAAAAAUAUUUCAGGGGUGAACAAGGUAUAGAGGUAAUCAAAACUGGGGUAACAUAAAGGCUCCCAUCAAAAUUAUCCUAUGCAGAUCAUUAAAAUUAAUAAGAACAUGGCUGGGAAAGUAAGUGAUCAAGGGCACAACUUGCCUGCAAUGAGCUCCUGCUCAGCUACUUCUACUUGUUGAAGCUCAGGUUCCACAGUGGGUUGCUCGUCUACUCGCAUCAACACAAUACAUACAUAGUAUAGCCAAAAUCAACAUCACACCAAACAGAUGAAUGAAAUAUACAGUAAAAAUCUACACAUUAAAAUGAGAUCAUAGGAACUGGAAUCACUAAAUUUGGAGUUAUAGAUUUCAAGUUAUGAAUUUCCUAAGGUUUAAUGUGAUUAAAAUAGGAUUAUAUGUUAAAUUAAUGUUCUUACUGUUUUUAUGCCAAAACAGAGAUACUAAGUGAUAGAGAAUAUUAUCACAAAAUUUUAGCAACUGGAAUGGUUCAAUUUGGACUAAAAAUGAAUUUUCUAUGCACUAAACAAGUUUUAGGAAUUCUUUUAUAUUAAAAAUCAAUUUCUGUAUUUAUUUACCUAUUUUAUAUGUUCUCUGGACUGGGCCUCAAUUACUGAAAAGUGUAGGGGUUCAAGCGUAACACUUCCACAGACUCAGGGCACUGUUAUGGUGGACGGCGGGUUGAUUGUGGCAAAGGGCAAGGGCUCUUUAACAAUUUGCGCACGGCGAAGGGGUAUCUUGUGUUUUCAGCCGUCCGAUCUAGAGUCUAGGGUUUAGAUUUUAUGAAGCCUAACGCAUUCUGAACCGUCCGAUUAAACCUACGGCCCGGAUUGACUCAUCCAGGAGGUAUUCCCGAUUAGAUCUGCACCGCAUAUCAACGAUCCCACGGGUACCUUUCGCCCAACCCAUCUUCAAAUCCCGACCGGUCAUCUCAGUAUCUACGGCGACGACAUCGUCUUCUUCCCUCGGACGGCAGAGCGGUGCCAGCAAGCGCCAGGAAGCAAGCGGCGAGCAGGGGGAUGAGUUACCCGCGGUGCGGCGUGCAGCGCAACUAAAACCUACGCACCGAGGAAAUACUGUUGAAUCGCAGGGAUGUUCUCUUACCGUUUUCGAAGCACCGGUGUGGUUGUCCCCGGAGGCUGGCGGCGCGCCAGAUCUCUUGACGCCGACAACGAGGCUCCCGGUCUCUGGCUUAGCGACCCCGUGGACGAGUCCUUGCGCAGUACAAGGAUGCGCCACCAUAUGGCACCGCGUGAAUAUUGCGAACGCGCUCGACUUCACCCGCGAUCAAACCCACUCCCUUCUCCCUUGGUUUCUCUCUCUUAAUGGCUGCAAUCCAGGCGGCGCACACCUACCAUUUUUUUUGCUCCAGGUCAACCACGACGGCCAACAACUAGGACCAUCCGAC
rnacentral:lncRNA from 1 species